rnacentral:tRNA from 1 species
GGGAACGUCUGGGUGGCGGUCUGGGGUGCCGGCGAGGUCCGUGCCUUCGCCCCGGACGGGGCCCUCCUCACGGUGGUCGAGGUCCCCACCUCGCACGUCUCCA